rnacentral:rRNA from 1 species
AUUGAACGCUGGCGGCAGGCCUAACACAUGCAAGUCGAACGGUAACAGGAAGCAGCUUGCUGCUUCUCUGACGAGUGGCGGACGGGUGAGUAAUGUCUGGGAAGCUGCCUGAUGUAGGGGGAUAACUACUGGAAACGGUAGCUAAUACCGCAUAAUGUCUCAAGACCAAAGAGGGGGACCUUCGGGCCUCUUGCCAUCGGAUGUGCCCAGAUGGGAUUAGCUUGUUGGUGGGGUAACGGCUCACCAAGGCGACGAUCCCUAGCUGGUCUGAGAGGAUGACCGGCCACCCUGGAACUGAGACACGGUCCAGACUACUACGGGAGGCAGCAGUGGGGAAUAUUGCACAAUGGGCGCAAGCCUGAUGCAGCCAUGCCGCGUGUAUGACGAAGGCCUUGGGGUUGUAAAGUACUUUCAGCGGGGAGGAAGGGAGUAAAGUUAAUACCUUUGCUCAUUGACGUUACCCGAAGAAGAAGCACCGGCUAACUACGUG